rnacentral:rRNA from 1 species
GGCGAUAACUAACCAGGAUUCCCCUAGUAACGGCGAGCGAACCGGGAAGAGCCCAGCUUGAAAAUCGGAGGGCUUCGCCCCUCGAAUUGUAGUCUGGAGAAGCGUCCUCUGCAUCGGACCGGGCCCAAGUUCCCUGGAACGGGACGAGAGAAAGGGUGAGAUCCCCGUCGAGCCCGGACCCUGAUGCUCCACGAGGCGCUGUCGGCGAGUCGGGCUGUUUGGGAAUGCAGCCCUAAGCGGGUGGUAAAUUCCAUCCAAGGCUAAAUACCGGCGAGAGACCGAUAGCGAACAAGUACCGCGAGGGAAAGAUGAAAAGGACUUUGAAAAGAGAGUUAAAGAGUGCUUGAAAUUGCUGGGAGGGAAGCGAAUGGAAGCUGCGGGUGCGCCCCGGUUGGAUGCGGAACGGCUCUAGCUGGUCCGCCGCUCAACGCGGGGCGCUGGUCAGCGUGGGCCGUCGCGGCGGGACAAGAGCCGGCUUUCGUUGCCGGCCGAUGCCGUUGUGGCGGCCGAGGAACGAAGCGCGCGCCCUUCUGGGCGGGCCCCUCGGGGCACCUGCGCGCUCGGGACGCUGGCGCAUCGAGCUCUCCAUCCGACCCGUCUUGAAACACGGACCAAGGAGUCUAACAUGUAUGCGAGCCGGUGGGCGGCAAACCCAUUGAGGCGCAAGGAACCUGACAGGUGGGAUCCCCUUUCCGGGGGAGCACCAUCGACCGACCGUGAUCUUCUGUGAAAGGUUUGAGUGCGAGCAUGCCCGUUGGGACCCGAAAGAUGGUGAACUAUGCCUGAGCAGGGCGAAGCCAGAGGAAACUCUGGUGGAGGCUCGUAGCGAUACUGACGUGCAAAUCGUUCGUCAGACUUGGGUAUAGGGGCGAAAGACUAAUCGAACCAUCUAGUAGCUGGUUCCCUCCGAAGUUUCCCUCAGGAUAGCUGGAGCUCGUGCACUAGUUUUAUCAGGUAAAGCGAAUGAUUAGAGGCAUCGGGGGUGUAACACCCUCGACCUAUUCUCAAACUUUAAAUAGGUAAGAUGCCUGGGUUGCUCGGUU